rnacentral:lncRNA from 1 species
AUGCUGCCGGAAAACAUGCUGAAGAAAGCAAAGAAGUCUGAAGAAUCAGAAUCGGGGAACCAUCAAGCACCUACUGAGAGCCCAUCCCGAGCCCUGCAUUCUGCUGGCCCUUAUGGGAAGUUAGAAGUAGAAGAGGUUCCUGGAGAGACCGGGAUGUCCACUGCCUCAAUGUUCUCAAGCGCUCCAGUCUCAGAGUGGGGCGGGGACCGAGCAGAACUGAAAAGCACCAGCAGCUGCUCCCCAGCUCGAGCCAACUGUUGCCAUGUGGGAAUGGAGGCUCAGUCUUGCCAGGUCAGCAAAUUUUUCCAAAACAGCUAGGAAUCAUGAUUUUUGCAUGAAACUUCUCCAUUUAAUAAGUUGACAAUGAGAAUUAAAAAACAAAAAACAGAAACAAAAAAUACUGUGUGGGCCAGCAAAUGCAUGGGCCAAAUUGAAUAGGUCUGCAGUCCUGAUUUGGCCUGCCAGUUUAUACCGGCUGCUUUAUAUUAUGAAUUCCCUCAGAAUUUAAAAAUGCUUACCACUCAAAAUGACUUGGUGACAUUUAUAGUGAUCUGUACACAUUUUGUGGAGAAAAAACUUGAAUAAGACUGCUUGCAUACAAAUUAUAAACUACAGAACUGGCAACUCUAGUCAUUUAGCACUACAGGGCAAAGUAACUUCUUGACAGAAUUUUUCACUUUCUUUCUUUCUUUUUUUUUAAGAGAGGGAGUCUUGCUUUGUUGUCCAGGCUAGAAUGCAGUAGCACAAUCAUAACUCACUGCUGCCUCCAACUCCUGGGCUCCCAGCUUAACCUCACGAAUAGCUGGGACCACAGGCAUAUGCCACUGCACCUGGCUUAUUUUUUAACACUUUUUAUAUCGUAGAGACGAAGUCUCACAUUUUUCCAAGUCUGGUCUUUAACUCCUGGGCUCGAGCCUCCCCAAGUCCUGGGAUUAUAGGCAUGAACCACUGCUCCUGGCCACAAAAUUUUUAUUUCUAAAUAAUUGCUGUGAUAUGUAGAGUCAGCCUAAAUUAUGUAUGUAUCAAGUCUUAACAAUGUAUUUUCCAGGAUGGACACUACCACCAUUAUUGCCCCCAACACACAGACACACACACACACACACACACAAUGACACCUUUAGAAGAUUAUUUUGGGUUCCUGCAAAAUUAUUAUUGCUGGAAAUAUCACUUUCAGUUUUGGUGAUACUCAUUAAUAAAAUGCAUAAAUCAUUUGUCCUUGUAUCAAAAUAAGUUUGUUAGCAUAUUUUCGAAGUGUAACAUGCAUACUGAAAUAUGCAUGAAUCAUAAAGAUACAGCUUAGAUGAGUUUCAAAAAGUAAGCACACCCAAAUAAUCAACACCCAUCUCAAGAAAAAGAACAUUACCAGAAAAUCAUAAACUAGCACAUAUGGGGUAUUACUACUCUUAAUCUUAAAAUAUCUAGAAAUGAGACUCUUUAUAGCAUACUUUAACUUUUUAAGAAGCAAGAACCAUUCUCCGUGAAUGAUUAAGUUAAAACAUACUUUAUUACUUUCUUUAAUUUUCCAACCUUAUUAAGCUGAUUAUUUUUUAAAGAAAAAUAACUUUCUAACUGAAGAAACUCAUAAAAAUCAUAUACGAAAAUCCCACAGCCAACAUCAUAAUCAAUGGUGAAAGAUUGAAAGCUUUUCCUCUAAGGUCAGAAAAAAGACAAGGAUGCCCACUUUUGCCACUUCUAUUCAACGUAAUACUUGAAGUCCCAGCUGAAGCAAUCAGGCAAGAAAAAGAGAUAAAAGGCAUCCAAAUUAGAAAACAAAUAAAUAUUCUCUCUGUUCACAGAUGACAUGGUCUCAUAUGCAGAAAGCCUUAAGGAAGGCCAGGUGCACUGGCUGAUGCCUGUAAUCCCAGCACUUUGGGAUGUUGAGGUGGGUAGAUAACUUGAGAUCAGGAGUUCGAGACCAGCCUGGCCAACAUGGCAAUACUCUGUCUCUACUAAAAACACAAAAACUAGCCAGGUUUGGUGGUGCAGGCUACUUCGGAGGCUGAGGCAGGAGAAUUGCUCAAACCUAAGAAGCAGAGUUUGCAGUAAGCCAAGAUGGCACCACUGCAACUCCUGUUUUUUUUUUUUUUCUCUCUGUUUGCUUGUUAAAUCUUCCUCCAUUCCUUUAUUUUGAGCCUUUGUGUAUCCUUGCAUGUGAGAUGGGUUUCCUGGAUACAGCACAUAAUAUUGUUAUGUGUGAAUUUGAUCCUGCCAUUUUGAUGCUAGCUGGCUGUUUUGCCCAUUAGUUGAUGCAGUUUCUUCAUUGUGUUGUUGCUCUUUACUAUUUGGUAUGUCUUUGGAAUGGCUGGUACUGGUUGUUCCUUUCUAUGUUUAGUGCCUCUUUCAGGAGCUCUUGUAAAGCAGGCCUGAUGUUGAUGAAAUCUCUGAAUUCUUGCUUGUUCACAAAGGAUUUUAUUUUUCCUUCACUUAUGAAGCUUAGUUUGGCUGGAUAUGAAAUUCUGGGUUGAAAGUUCUUUUCUUUAAGGAUGCUGAAUAUUGGCCCCCACUCUCUUCUGGCUUGUAGGGUUUCUGCUGAGAGAUCUGCUAUGAGUCUGAUGGGCUUCCCUUUGUGGGUAACCCAAACUUUCUUUCUGGCUUCCCUUAGCAUUUCUCCUUCAUUUCAACCUGCUGCAUCUGACGAUUAUGUGCCUUGGGGUUGCUCUUCUUGAGAAAUAUCUUUGUGGUGUUCUCUGUAUUUCCUGGACUUAAAUAUUGACCUGCCUUGCUAUGUUGGGGAAGUUUUCCUGGAUAGUAUCCAGAAGAGUAUUUUCCAGCUUGGAUUCAUUCUCUCCAUCACAUUCAGGUACACCUAUCAAACGUAGAUUAGGUCUUUUCACAUAGUCCCAUAUUUCUUGGAGACUUUGUUCAUUCCUUUUUACCCUUUUUUCUCUAAUCUUGCCUUCUCAUUUUAUAUCAUUGAGUUGAUCUUCAACCUCUGAUAUCCUUUCUUCUGCUUGGUCAAUUUGGCUGUUGAAACUUGUGCAUGCUUUGUGAAGUUCUCGUGUUGUGUUUUUCAGCUCCAUCAAUUCACUUAUAUUCCUCUCUAAGUUGUCUAUUCUCAUUAGCAUUUCAUCAAAUCUUUUUUUUUCAAGGUUCUUAGUUUCUUUGCAUUGGGUUAGAACAUGUUCUUUUAGCUCACAGAAGUUUCUUAUUACCCACCUUCUGAAGCCUGAUUCUGUCAAUUCAUCACAUUCAUUCUCCAUCCAGCCUUGUUCCCUUGCUGGUGAGGAGUUGUGAUCCCUUAUAGGAGGAGAGGUGUUCUGGUUUCAGGUGUUUUCAUCCUUUUUGUGCUGGUUUCUUCCCAUCUUUGUGGAUUUAUUCACCUGUUGUCUUUGUAGUUGUUGACUUUCAGAUUGGGUCUCUGAGUGGAUGUCCAGUUUGUUGAUGAUGAAGUUAUUUCUUUUUGUUUCUUAGUUUUCCUUCUAACAGUCUGGCCCCUCUGCUGUAGGACUGCUGAUGUCCACUCCAGGCCCUGCUUGCCUGGGGAUCACCUGCAGUGGCUGCAGAACAGUAAGGGUUGCUGCCAGUUUCUUCUGCUGCUAUCUUUGUCCCAAAAGGAUACCCGCCAAAUGUCAGUCUGAGUUCUCCUUUAUGAGGUGACUCUUUGGAUAUACGGGGUCAGGGAGCUGCUUGAGGAGACAGUCUGUCCUUUAUAGGACAUAGACCAAGCAAACCUAAUAGACAUUUAUAGAACUCUCCACCCCAAAUCCAUAGAAUAUACAUUCUUCUCAGCACCACAUCGCACCUACUCUAAAAUUGACCACAUAAUUUGAAGUAAAUCACUCCUCAGCAAAUGCAAAAGAAUGGAAAUCAUAACAAACAGUCUCUCAGACCACAGUGCACUCCAACUUGGGCAACACAAAGGGACUCUAUCUCAAAAAAACAAACAAAAAUCACUAAAAACUGCACACACGCAAACACACACACACACACACACACACACCAUUAUCUCAAUUGAUGCAGAGAAGGCCUUUGACAAAAUUCAACAGCCCUUUAUACUAAAAACCCUCAAUAAACUAGGUAUUGACAGAACAUAUCUCAAAAUAAUAAAAGCUAUUUAGGACAAACCGACAGCCAAUAUCAUACUGAAUGGGCAAAAACUGGAAGCAUUCCCUUUGAAAUCCGGCACUAGACAAGGAUGCCCUCUUUCACCACUCAUAUUCAAUAUAGUACUGAAAGUUCUAGCCAGAGCAAUCAGGCAAGAAAAAGAAAUAAAGGGUAUUCAAAUAGGAAAGGAGGAAGUCAAAUUGUCUCUAUUUGCAGACGACAUGAUUGUAUAUCUAGAAGACCCCAUCGCCUCAGCCCAAAAUCUCCUGAAACUGAUAAGCAACUUCAGCAAAGCCUCAGGAUACAAAAUCAAUGUGCAAAAAUCACAAGCAUUUCUAUACACCAAUAAAAGACCUAAAGAGAGCCAAAUCAAGAACAAACUGCCUUUCACAAUUGCUACAAAAAGAAUAAAAUACCUAGGAAUACAUGCAAAGAUACAUAAAGAGUCAAAACAAAGGGAUGGAGAAAGAUUUGUCAACCAAAUGGAGAGCAAAAAUAAAUAAAUAAAUAAAAAGAAGAGGUUGCCAUUCUCACCUCUGACGGAAUGGAUUUUAAAGCAACAAAGAUCAAAACAGGACAUAAUGGUAAAGGAUCAAUGCAACAAGAAGAGCUGAUGAUCCUGGAUGUGUACUCAACCAAUACAGGAUACAUAAGACUUGUAAAGAGACUUGGACUCCCACACAGUAGUAGCGGGAGAUUUCAACAUCAACAUUAGAUAGAUCAAUGAGACAGAAAAUUAAUAAGGAUAUCCUGGACUUGAACUCAGAUCCGGAACAAGUAAACUUAAUAAACAUUUAUAGAACUCUCCACUUUAAACACACAAGAUAUGCACUCUUAUCAGUACCACAUCACAUCUACUCACAUGUUUAAAUGAAAUAUUGGUUGGCCAUUAUUAAGCACAAUUGGUAUAAAGGAGGUUUCCAAUACCCAUUUUUAGACUGCAUGCUAGCCUGGGCAAUUAAGCAACAGUCCUGUUCUCUCUCCCUCCUCCUCUUCCUCUUUUUUCCUCUUCUUCAUUACCUUUCUUUCUCUCUUUCUUUUAAAAAAAAACAUAUUUGAAAAAAAAAAAACAAACGUAGGAAUACAGCUAACAAGGAACAUAAAGGACCUCUUCAAGGAGAACUACAAACCACUGCUCAAUGAAAUAAAAGAGGACACAAACAGAUGGAGAAACAUUCCAUGUUCAU